rnacentral:rRNA from 1 species
UGCCAAACAGCUAACCCAAAACCCAAAAAACAACAAAUACAUAUAAAUAACCCCAUAAACCCUAACAUAACGUUAAACAAACCAUUUUUCCCCCAAAGUAUAGGCGAUAGAAAAG